CUGUCUUUCUCUUUCUUGGUAAAUGUACCAUAUGCCAGCAUCAUAAUUAGUUUGGGAAACACUGGGUAUACGUUCAAAGGGCACUGAGCAACUCUGGGCGUGGAGAGCUACCAGAUGUAGGAGGAUGUUUCUGCUGAGCCAUUAGACACAUGCUUACAGUUGGUAUUGCUGCUUCUGCUCUCCACUUCCUGCUGUGGUGGGCUGUUUUUUUUUGGCUGGCUUGGCUCACGGUGCUAUUGAAGCAAGAAGAUGAAGCAGCGUCCUGUGAAACAGCAGAGGUGGGAGCAGUGUCCUGAGGAAGGAAGCUGAAAUGUGAAUAGGCCUCUCAUCCCAUAUAAAUUGUCUCUUGGCAGGGCUGUGAAGAUCUGAACAUGCAGCUAUUUUAGAGACUGAUCGCAAUGUCACUUCAAGCCUUUGCAACUCUUCUGGCACCAGAGAAAGAAUCUAAUGUGAGUCAUUCCGGAGAAGCUCAAAAUACUCAUAUUUAAAAGUCAGAUACAGACUUACUACAGUGGUGCAUUCCAGAAGUAAGUUAAGCUUUACCUGCCUCAGUGUGGCAUUUUAUGUACAUUGUGUUUACCACAUUUUUCCUUCACUUUUUUCCCCUCAUAUUUUGAAAUAAGUUCAAAAAGAAAAAAAAAAAAAAAGCAUAGUCUUUUCCCC